GCCGUUGGGAUAGCUCAGUCGGUAGGGCAUGAGGCUCUUAAUCUGAGGGUUGUGGGUUUAAGCCCCGUGUUGGGCA